AUACUCACCUGGCAGGGGAGAUCCCAUGAUCUAGAAGGUGGCUUUCCCAGGAUGAGGCUCGCCCUUUGCACUCCGGGUAUGCUGACCCCUGCAAUUUCCCCACGUGUGAGAAACUUGACUGCAUAAUUUGUGGCAGUGGGGGACUGCAGUCAUGCUUUCCCCUG
ensembl:snRNA U1 U1 spliceosomal RNA